UUGGCUUUCUUGUUAUUAUCCGCCUGAUAUAAUGAGCUCCUCCCAUCGGUCUGGAUGGAUCUUCUUAAUGGUCGUGAGAUCAAGCUCCCUUUCUCAGUUGGAUUAUAAUUCUGGUGUUCUAGAUAUCCUAAUGAUGUAUGAUACAUUUUCAACAUCAUGUCAAUCAAUUGUUAUCCGAAUAUUUGGUCGUUAUUGGUCUUCUGGUAUUCUUGUCUUUCUGGUUAUUAUUAUCCUCCAGACCUCGGGAUUGACCUCUUUUCAAUUAGGAUGGAUCGGAGUUUUGGUCUUCUUAAUAUUUUUACUUGUCCCAUGAUCGUGGUAUUCAGCUCCUCUCUCCAAUCACAUUAUAUUGGACUUCUGGUAUUCCACGCUUUUUGCUUAUCAUCUUCCCAACCAAGGAUCAAACUCCUCUUCCUCGGUCAGAACUGUGUUGGACUUCUGCUCCUCUUCCCUGCUGAAUUAUAAUCCAUAUUCACAUAUUCUUGGAAUUCUUUUGCUUAUCAUCUUCAUGGUCGUGGAAUCGAGCUCCU